rnacentral:tRNA from 1 species
AAGGGAUUAGUUAAAUUAACAUUAGAAUGUCAAACUAAAAAUAUUAAUUAAAUAUUAAUAUCCCUUG